rnacentral:rRNA from 1 species
GAUGAACGCUGGCGGCGUGCCUAAUACAUGCAAGUCGAGCGAACAGACGAGGAGCUUGCUCCUCUGACGUUAGCGGCGGACGGGUGAGUAACACGUGGAUAACCUACCUAUAAGACUGGGAUAACUUCGGGAAACCGGAGCUAAUACCGGAUAAUAUAUUGAACCGCAUGGUUCAAUAGUGAAAGACGGUUUUGCUGUCACUUAUAGAUGGAUCCGCGCCGCAUUAGCUAGUUGGUAAGGUAACGGCUUACCAAGGCGACGAUGCGUAGCCGACCUGAGAGGGUGAUCGGCCACACUGGAACUGAGACACGGUCCAGACUCCUACGGGAGGCAGCAGUAGGGAAUCUUCCGCAAUGGGCGAAAGCUUGACAGAGCAACUCCGCGUGAGUGAUGAAGGUCUUCGGAUCGUAAAACUCUGUUAUUAGGGAAGAACAAAUGUGUAAGUAACUAUGCACGUCUUGACGGUACCUAAUCAGAAAGCCACGGCUAACUACGUG